rnacentral:misc_RNA from 1 species
GUCUCCGUAGGUGAACCUGCGGAGGGAUCAUUACAGAGUUCAUGCCCUACCGGGUAGAUCUCCCACUCUAUGUUAUUAUUACUUUGUUGCUUUGGCGGGCCGUUAGGCUCCGGCCCGACUACCGGCCCCGGCUGGUAAGCGCCCGCCAGAGGACCCAAAACCCUGAAUAUUAGUGUCGUCUGAGUACUAUAUAAUAGUUAAAACUUUCAACAACGGAUCUCUUGGUUCUG